rnacentral:rRNA from 1 species
AAUAAAUUUAAUUUUGGUUUAAUUAAUUUGAUUUUGGUAGAACAUUAACAAAUUUGGUUUAAGUUGAUUAAAGAAUAAUAAAAAUUUUAAUGAAGUUUUUAGUUUAUUUAGAUGUGAAUUUUUUUAAAUAAUUUUAGUUUAAAAAGUUAGAAAAUGCUAUAAAAUAAUAAAAAAGCUAAUUAGAGUGCCAGCAGCUGCGGUUAUACUCAGUUUUUAUAAAUUAAGAUUUAAGUAAAAAGUUUAGAAAAAUCAAAAAUUUUAUUUUAGGUAAUAUUUAUAGUUCAAAAUUUAUUUUUGUUAAAAUUUUUUAUAUUAUAAGUUUUAUUUAAACCUAUUGGUAAUAAUAAUUAUAAAAACUUGAAAUUUUUUUUCUAUAAAAAAAUAAAAAGAUUUGGCAGUUAGUUUAAAUUUUCUGGGGAGUGUGUUGUAAUAAGAGAAUACACGCUUAUUAAUUUGCUAAUUAUGUUGAUGGCUAGUGUACGGUUGUUUAUAAAGAGAUUACUUUAAUAACUAAGAUUAUAGUUUCAAAACAAAUCAUUGUGCUGCUUUUUAAUUAGAUUUACAAUUCACUACAAUUAGAUUAGAAAUCUGUGAAAAUAAUUUUCGGAUUCAAGUUAGGACUAGAGAGUAAAGAUUAAUGAAUAGGUAAUUUUGAAAAAUUUUUAAUAAAUUGGGGUACACAUUGCCCGUCAAUCUUUUUUGAAAGAUAAGUCGUAACAUGGUAAAUUUAGCUGAAGCUGAAUUUUUUUUAAU